GGCGGUGGCAGAGACUAGCGCAGGGCCCGGCCAAUGGCGGGGCGGUAUGCUAAUGAGUACUUGGUCAGGCAGGAGCUGAAUGUCAACUAGUCAAAGAUGGAGGCCGGAGCGGGGAGGCCAUGAGGCAUGGAAUGAAGCUCCCUCCAGUCACCUGCUGCAAGACACAUUGUCCAGCUUCCUAACCUUAAGGAUGAGACCCUAUCAAUAUUGCCUCUGCUUUUGUGCUCAGGGUAGUAGUGCAAUAUUGCUUAUAGGGUCUUUUCUUUUGGGGGUAUUCUUCACGGAGAGAAGACAGCCACAGCAGGAAAAACUAAUCCUAUGUGCGCAUCGAGUUAAGGGGAAAGUUGUGAAAUACUGAGCCUUGUUAGAUAGGCAAGUAAUGGUGCGGAGACGUUACUUGUGACAAAUAAUCGUGCUAUUGUGGUGACUCAGGUUGUGAGUAAUGGGCAUAUUUUCGAUGCUAUCGCACAGGAUUCAAAAUGGCCUUGUGUUUAAAAAGCUCAAGCAGUGACUGAAACUGGAGAAACCCAUCGUGUCUCCAUUUUAAAUAGCACGAGUCCCGAGAGGUUUGAAGGGUGCCUAUUUUACAUCACGAUGUAAACACCCACCGAGGGAUGGGAGGAGAUACAUAGCCACACUUGCUGUUUCCACGCCUGAUCCCAGCCCGAAAACCAGCACUGUGCGAAGCAGGGCGCCGCACAAAGGGGCCGAGGCUCUGCUCCCGGUGACCUCCCCGCAGCAAAGCUCUCGCCUCUGCCCGGCAAGCACGGCUGGGCCCGCGGCUCGCAGCAGGGUCGGGUGGUGGAGCGGGGCUGGGCACGGCCCCCAGCCCUUCCCCAGAGCCAUUCCUGGAGGUACGUGGGAAAGGAGCAAGGGACGGGGGUGUUAAAUCUCUCCGCUUUGUGAGGAAUCAGCUGGGGGCUGACAGCAGCCAGGAUGGCCGAGUGGGUGGCCCUGCCUUCCAUUUCAGGUGGUCCCCGCGGUCCCUUUCGGGACCUCUGGGGCCCAGGGAAAGGGGUGGUGGGAGGGGACUUUGGGGCCAGAGCGGGGCUCGGUGGAGCAGCCGCUGCCUCCGCGGGGCUUCACAAGCUGCUCCCCGGGCAGCGUGGGGCUGCUGCAGCACAGCCAGGCUCGGGGUGCUGCCGGGGCUGCACUCACUGCUUGGGGUUUCGCCCCCUCACACACCCACCCAGCAUCGCUCCGGGGGGAGGCAGCCAGCUCAGGGACAAAGCCAGGAAAUCCCUCCUCCCCCUCCACACCUAAGCCCAGGCUCUCCCUCCGUGCCCCCAGCCCAGCAGCCGGGCCAGCGCUGGGACCACCGGGCGGGCUGCCCCUCUUUCCCUGUUGCACUACUGUCACGGUUGCAGCGAGCAGUGCAAUAAUGAAAGGGCGUCAGUGCGCCGGGGAGCUGCGGGAGCCGGGGCUAAGCCAGUGACAGUCAGCAGGGCUGGCCCCCCCACCCAAGAGCUGUCUUACGGGGGGGCCAGGAUCAUGACCCACGGCUAGGGGGAGCUGGGCACAGGGCAAGGUGAGCAGCCCUGCACAAAUAAAGUGACUUCCCAUGUCCCUGUUGCUGCCUUUUCUUCCUUGGGGGGGUUUCUUGCAGGUCAGCAGCCUCCCCAGCAGCGGCGCACAGAGGCAGAGCCCCCACGAGGGGUUUUUGUGGGGCCAACCAGACCUGUGCUUUGUGGGGAGAGGCUGAAGGCACUAAUGGGACUGGGGGUCUUCCUGCCCUGUGGAGCCUGAAAAGCAGGCGGGAGGCAUGCCCUGGUGCUGGGCUCAGCAGUGGGGCGGGAGGGGAAGGGGCUGCAGUAAAGGAGAGCAGAGCAGCGCUCUGCAGCUGGGAGCUGCGCUGGAAAGGCCAGGAAAUAGCCCUGUGAUUAUUAGUGGCCAUGGCGAAAUAGUUACUUCUAUAAAAGAGGGCUGGGGAGGGGUAUUUCCUUUAGCAAAGGACCUUUCCACUCUGGCCUUUUGAACCCGCGCUUCUCCCUGGCACUGUUUCUGCUUCAUCAUGACUUUUUGCAGAGGAAGGUGAGUGCAGAAAGCAGACCGGCUCUAGGCGAGGGCUGCAAUCUAAUCCUGAUAAAAAGGCUUUUACAGUCUGUGCUUCAUUUCCUAUUUCUUUUGGAUUCUCUCUUCUGUCUCUCACGUGCACAAGCAGAUAUAAAAGCCGAAUCCUUCCCUGCAGUCUCUCUCCCAGGGAACAGUCAGCCCCCUCCCCAGCUUCACCUUCAGGCUGUGCACACACAAAAUGGCUGCAGCAGCCUGUGGGUGGGCAUGGAGAGCUCAGGAAGCUGCUUUUCUUUUUCCCACCCUGCCUGCCCAGGAAGCCCUUCUGCUUUUAUUUUCUGUGGCAUUUCACUCUCGCAUAGCUCUGUGCAAAUCCAAGGGGGUCUCCUAUGUGUAAGCUAUGCAUGGAAUGGGAGCUGGGGAGGGAAACAGCCAGUUUGCAUGAGAAGGGGACCUGUCGGGCCCCAGUGUUUAUUUUUUUGCUGACCUUCUGGGGAUAUGGUCAGUGAGAGCUGUGACAGCUGCUGGAAGCGGCAGGGGCUUUGAAGAUUGUGAAGGUUGUGACCUCGAGGCCCCUUUCCUCUCUCUGUCCCAGGAGCUGCUGAGUCAAUCAGGGAAAAGGGGAGGUGAAAUGGGGGCUGCUCUUUAGCCAUUUUUCAAUCGGUGAAUGAAACAGGAAAGGACAAAUGCAAGAAGAAAAAAGAGCGAUUACUUCCACUUUGGUGCAUUACUGAGAAGGGGGGAUAUCUCUUUGGCAAAAGAUUAUAACAAUAAUGGGAAACCACUGUGCUCCUGAGAUCCAGCACCUUGAAUAAAGGGGUUGACUGGGCAAGGAGCUGAUGGCAGAUCAAUAAUGCUAAAUUAGGGGGAAAGCCUACAAACUCCUCUUGGUUCAAAGCGAGAGGAAAUCCACCUCUCAUUUCCACCUGAUACUAGCAGCGGGGGAACCCGGGUACCACUAUCCUCCACCACCUCCUUGACUUCACAGUACCACAUCUUCACCUUUGCCGAGCUCAGCUGAAUGCUGUGGCUGUUGUAGGAGCCACUGAGGAGGGCUGCACCGCACAUGCCAAAGUAAAGGGACAAAGUACAUGGUGCUGCAUCCCUGGUGCGUGCGUGCUUUCAAAUAGCACGGGCUUGCUUAGAAAUCCACGCUCCGGGCAGCCCACGAGAGGGCUCUCAGCCCCUGAGUCCUCCCUAAGCCCAGAAAGUGGGGUUUAAGUCUUUUUCCCCUUUCUGGAUAACAUGAUCCUAUGGAUCUAUCCUUUAAAAUAGUAAUCAGAACAGCAAACACGGCGCCUGGCUUCGGUUGACCAAUACACAACAGAGGCAAAGAAGGCAAACAGCAGGCUUUUCAGUUAGUUUACACAGGGGGCACUUAAAUACUGUAUUGGUUACAUAAUACCAUUUGGGGGUUGGGGUUUUACACAUUCUUCUACUAAAUAUAUCUGUGAGAUUUGUUUUAAAGUGAUCAACAUAAAUCCAGCCACAGCUUUAAGGGGGAAAAUUCCUGUGAUUAGAUUUAAUACCACUAGGUAGCUCACAGUAUGUUUACUGAAAACCAACACACAAUAGAUUCCCGCCCCCGGAACUGCCGGCCAGCCUCGCGCUUUGCUGCGCUGGAGGGUGUUGCUCUCCUCUAGAAGGGCUGCCAUAGACAGCCACUUCCCGCAGGAAGCACGGGCUGCUGGUUUUAGGGCCAUAUCCUGCUACUGUUCCACAUCCAGCCCUCAGGAUUCAUCCCAGCACGGGCUGAAGACAGGAUAUGGUCUGGCAAUCUUGACAAACUAAGUGCUAAGCAAGAGGGCGAGGCAUAUAAAAAAAUAAUUUAAAAAAAAAAAAAAUGAGAGCCUUCUUGGCUGUGAUUGAUUAGAAAAGAACAAUUCUCUAUUAACUCUUCCUGAGAAUCCCCUUCACAUGGGAUACCUGAAGGUAUAUUCCCUUCCAGAUAAGCCUUCCAGUAAGCAUCCUGUUCCCAUCCAAAGAGUAGCAGGUGGUCAAACUGCCCCACUGGAGGCUUGACAAUGGCAUUAGCUGAAGCCUGGCUCAAUCUGUACACAACUCCUGAGACUCCAGCUAAGCCCUGCCUGGGAACAGCGAGCAUCCCCGGGCAAGGCCCGGAUCUAGCAGCCCCAUGUCCUUGCAAGGCACCCUCUGCUCAGAAGCGAACAGAUGGGAAGAAGCGUCUCAAAGCAGCACAGCUUUAAAACCGUGCUCUUCUCUUCAGCGUGUUGCCACCAGCAGCUCCGCAGGCAGAGAUCUCUGCCAUAAGGAGCGAGCAGAAUGGCGGGUGGGUGGCUAAUUGAGAAUGGAAGCUCCUCGGGGGCAAAACCAAGCCAUCUUUGUGGUUGCACAGAACGAGGUAUGCUGCCUGCGCUCAGCACCAAACACCAGCUCGGUACAAAUCCUGCUUACUCGCUCACCUGGAGGUGGGUGCACCUGGUCUUGUAAACCUCCUCAGCCACCCAGUGACCAGGUGACAGCGAUAGGCUGUUGUGCACAGCACAAAGUCGAGCCUAACAGUCUGCAGGGGUGUAAUAUGCCAGUUAUCUUAAAAGUCACCCUGCUACUACUACACCAAAAGGCAGACCUCUUCCUCCCUCAAAAACUGAUCUGCUGAGAAGCAACACCUCUGCCAGGAGCUGCUACUUCUUUACCAGCAGUUUACCCAGUUAAAAUCAGUAGGGAGUGACACUUUGUACAAAAACACACUGCACUAGAAGACAAACUCUGUUUUGUCCUUCCUCUGUGAGACCCCAUCAUAUUUCAAGAUAAGUUUGGGUUGACAACAAUCUGGUUUUACACAAUCCACCAGCAAUUCUGUUGCUUGGCUUUCCCUUUAAAGCAGUUACACCUUUAACACAAUCUAAAUUAUUUAAAGAGGGAGAAAAAAGAAAGAAAAGGCAGACUGCCCUGAGAAAAGCAGAGAAUGAAAGACUUCCAGACCUGAAGGAAAUGGGGAUCUCUCAACAGCCCUGGGAAGCAGGGGAGGCCACCUCAUCUGUAAGCUUUUAGAGACACAGAACCAGUAAAGGAUUCCUCACUGCCAGCCCCCUACACCCCGACACCAAGUAAUUCAUUUAGGGUGUUUAUAGCAGCGUUUGGAGCAAGUCAGAGGGCAGUUUUGGCAUUCCCCUGUUGAAUUUCUGGUCAAGUUCUCUGAUCAAAAUCGACCCCUUCUUCCCCUCUUCACACACAGAUAUCCACCCCUACUAACCCUACUGAAAGGCAAACACUUGAAAAA